rnacentral:lncRNA from 1 species
UGGAAACCUUUCCGCGAUCCCAUCAGUGCUGAAGGAUCACAACAGCAACAAAUUAGACCAACAGGCUCGGGAAAAUGUGCCCGAUUUAGAAACGGAUGUUACAGUUUAUUAACCAGCUAAAUUAAUUCGAUUUUGAACCACUGUUAAAUAUACAUUAGGAUGUAUCGCCCAGGAGCCCAGCGGGCGGGGGGAGGGCGGGGGGAGGCUGUCCUGACCUCCCUCGGGGCCUGUGCGAGGGGUCCACGCUGGGGUUCCGGGCAGUGCCGGAGCUGGAGAGGGAGGGAGGCCCAGGGAAAGCCCGGGCACCGCAGGCUCCACCCCAGGGCGGGAGCCAGGAGCUCCGUAUCUCGUAUCUGAAAGUCUCAGACAUUCCUCCUUCAAGUACAGCUGGAUCCAGGAGCUCAAGGUCAACAGGAACCGGCUUUUGGUUUUUCAUGUUCUUCUACUGUCUGCAGGGCCAGGCCUGCUGUGAGAGCAACCCGGGACCCUCUGGCAGCCAGGACAGGCCUGGCCGUGGCCCUGCCCUCCGUCACUGCACAGAGAGCUCCCGCCGUGGGCUGAAUGCAGCUCUGAGGCCACACUGUCCCGCUGGGUCCCGUUGGUGGCCAAGGAGCAGGAAAUGUGGUGCUCACCGCUCUGGAGGCUGAGGCCCAAGGUGGAGGCCCCAGAGGUCCCACUCUGGUGAGGGCUGCUGCUCCCCAGAUGUCCUCACGGGGUGGAAACUGGCCAGGGAGUUCUCUGGGGUCCCUGCUUGAAGUUAACACCCCCCGUGGGGGCCCACGUCAUGACCUUGUCCCCUCCCACAGGCUCUGCCUCCCGACACCAUCACAUGCAGGGUCAGGACCUCAACCUAUGAAUGUGGGGGAGACACAAACACUUAAUCUGUAACCCACGCAUUGGAAGACAUAGCCGGCCUCCCCUACGGGGCCUUUGCACCUGCUGAGCUGGUGGCCCAGAAUGCUUUGCUUCCCCCACCAGCAGCAGCGCAUCCCCAGGGACCCUGGAACUCCCGCUGGGCCUGCCCUGCCUUCCGGCUGGUACCUUCCCUACUGCGCAUGCCCAGUGCUCAAAAUGGAAGCCCAUUUACAUCAUGGAAAGGGCAGGAAGCGAGGGACUUCUGGCCCCGGCCACUGCGUGGAUGAGCCUUGAGGGUGUUAUGCCAAGGGCAAGAAGCUGGCAGCCAGGGGUGCCCAUGAGGAGACCCAGCUUAGAGGAGAGGAGGGCUAGGGCGCCAUGGCCAGGAUAGGGGAGUGGCAGUUACUGCUCCACAGGGCCAGGGACAGGGCCACUGUUCAGGGUGACAGGAGCCCCAGGAACCGGCUCGUGGCGAGUGUCACUAACACCAGACCUUGGACCUCACAGUGGCUAAUGCAGUGGUUUUUAUGCAAUAGAUAAUUUACCACAAUAAAAAUGAAGAAAAGCUGUGUCUGUAACACCCCCCCCCCCAGCCGGCCUGGCUCCCGAUGAAGAUGAGGUGGAGCAGAAAAGGAAGAAAGGACAGAAGGAAUCCGAGGAAGGACAAAGGGACCAGGACGGAGCCCAGACCUGAGCACCCAUCCCGGCCCCUGGCCCUUCCCUCCUGACGGUCACUCCCAACUUCCUGAGAAAUCUGUAAAUCCUCGUGCUAUGAGACCUCGCUGGUCUAUGAAAAUCACCCGGUUCGCCUGCUUACGAGAGCUGGUCGGCUCCGGGAUGGACUUUCAGAUUAGAUAACGCAGCAAUAUAUUUUAAGAAACCUAUGAUCCGGGCGCGUACCUGUUGAUCAGAUCAAGGAGACAAGUGACAUCCUGAAGAUCUCAGAGGCCAGGCCUCCACCAGCACCACGAGUGCCCGGCUGAUGCUGUUCCCACAUCCUUCCCGUGGCCGCCCCACACCAGGUUUCCUUUAGAGGAAGAGCCUGAGAUCCCAGAAGCCCUCUGCAGGACGGACGCAGCCGCCACCUU